rnacentral:rRNA from 1 species
CGUAGGUGGCAAGCGUUGUCCGGAAUUAUUGGGCGUAAAGCGCGCGCAGGCGGUCCUUUAAGUCUGAUGUGAAAGCCCACGGCUCAACCGUGGAGGGUCAUUGGAAACUGGGGGACUUGAGUACAGAAGAGAAGAGUGGAAUUCCACGUGUAGCGGUGGAAAUGCGUAGAGAUGUGGAGGAACACCAGUGGCGAAGGCGACUCUUUGGUCUGUAACUGACGUUGAGGCGCGAAAGCGUGGGGAGCAAACAGGAUUAGAUACCCUGGUAGUCCACGCCGUAAACGAUGAGUGCUAAGUGUUAGAGGGUUUCCGCCCUUUAGUGCUGCAGCAAACGCAUUAAGCACUCCGCCUGGGGAGUACGGCCGCAAGGCUG